GUAGUUCGAGUUUCUAUUAUGAAUCGAGUUGAAUUUUACAAUUCAAAUAAUUCGAAUAUACGAUUGGUGUAAAUACGAUGCUUCUAAAUACCAAAUUAAAUAAUUAUUAACUUUACAUAUAAAAAAAUUAUAAAAAAACUUAAAAAAAUAUAAUGAAAAAACCUCAAAACCCUACACAACCCUAAGCCCUAAAUCCUAAAAUCCACAAAAC
rnacentral:lncRNA from 1 species